CCUAAAUUUUAUUUUUUAGGACAAAAAUUUCGAUUCAGUGUAAAAAGUAAAAAAAAAAAAAUGAAAACCCAUCAAACACAACGAGAAAAAACCAAAACCCAAAAUUCAGAACAGCAAAUAACCCUAGAUUUUCAAAUCACAGCCACAAAAUUGAUCCAAAUUCCAAGAAAACUCAAAUUUAAAGAUGAGUAUAUCUCACCGAAACCUUCUGAACAACAUUAACAUUAGAUCCACCAACACCAUCACCAUCGCCGUCAACGAUGAUGCCCUCCGCAGCGUCUCCACCGUCAUUGUUGUUACUAUUAAAAUAGAUGGUGGAAACGGAAUCGAAGACGUCUUGGGGAAGAGGGUGGUUGUGAUAGAGAAGAUUGAGAGCACAAAUCAAGGUCUUGGUCUUCUUUAAGUAGUUGCGAUCGAGGUCACCACCACCAUCACCACCACCGAGAGAGCCUGGUUUUUUCACCUGAGCCACCAUGGCGCGAGAGAGCCUGUUCGAUGGAAACACAAUGAGAGCAAGGCAGAAAGCGAGAGAAGGUAUUAUGAGGAUAACAAGUAUGCCACUGAUGAUUAACUGAUCCUGGAAGAAGAAACCACUUGCAGAAGUUGUUAAUGGUGGAGGUGCAAUAAAAGCAGCAACUGCUGCACAGAAGAAGCACUACGAUCCUUCAAAACCAAAGACAGUAAUUGUCAUAAGCUCUGAUGAGGAAUUAGAGUCCAAGGAGAAAAAGCCUGUCGCUGUCAUUGCAAGAAAGUCGUGAGUUCGGUCUUCUAGAAUGCCACAUAGAACCCGACCUAUGACAGCACUACUGGUCUCAAUGUUAUUUUGGUAUCAACCAUUACUCCAGUCUAUGAUUUUGUUUGCUUUCUUCCAUACUGGGAGAGAAGGGUAUGUUUUCUAUCUUUACGCUUUGGGCCAACAAAAUACUUCAUGCUUUGUAAGUAAUUGCAUUGGAAAGAACCAA